GUCACGAUAGCUCAAGUGGUAGAGCAUCGGCGUAUAUAGCCGAAGAUCAUGGGUUCGAAUCCCGUUCAUGACA